UAUGUGGGAGUCUUCUGUAUUUUAUUUUCAGUGCUUGGAAUUUCGAUUGGCCACCCGAAUCGUGUUUGCUUAUUGCCGGCAAAACAGCAAGGCUUUGGUUGUCCGCUAGUUGUAAGGAUAAAGGAAACUGGAUGGUCUUAUGAUUCCGCGACUAAGAAGUGCAUCUCCUGGGAGUAUAAAGGCUGUCUUCGGAAUGACAAUUGGUUUUCAACGGAGGAACAAUGUUUGAAAAAGUGCAAGAUUUAAGAUACGUGUAAAAAAUCUGAGUUGUAGAAUUGUAUUGAAAAAUAUAAAAGCAACAGAAAUAGAUUAAAUAUAACCUA